rnacentral:rRNA from 1 species
AGUGAACGCUGGCGGCGUGCUUAACACAUGCAAGUCGAACGAGAACGGGUUAUAGCUUGCUAUAAUUGUCAGCUAAGUGGCGCACGGGUGAGUAAUGUAUAGGUAAUAUGCCUCUUACUAAGGGAUAACAAAUGGAAACGUUUGCUAAUACCCUAUACUCCUUAUUAACAGAAGUUAAUAAGGGAAAGAUUUAUUGGUAAGAGAUUAGCCUGUAUUGUAUCAGUUAGUUGGUGGGGUAAUGGCUUACCAAGACUAUGACACAUAACUGGUUUGAGAGGAUGAUCAGUCACACUGGAAAUGGGACACGGUCCAGACUCCUACGGGAGGCAGCAGUGGGGAAUAUUGCACAAUGGACGAAAGUCUGAUGCAGCAACGCCGCGUGGAGGAUGACACAUUUCGGUGCGUAAACUCCUUUUAUAUGAGAAGAUAAUGACGGUAUUAUAUGAAUAAGCACCGGCUAACUCCGUGCCAGCAGCCGCCGUAA